ACAGGGAUGCCUCAGUAACGGCGAGUGAAGCGGCAAGAGCUCAAAUUUGAAAUCUGGCGGGUCCGAGUUGUAAUUUGUAGAGGAUGCUUCGGGCGUAGCCCUUGGCACAGGGCGUCAUAGAGGGUGAGAACCCCGUAUGCGGCCGGGUGCCUAAACCCUUGUGAAGCUCCCUCGACGAGUCGAGUUGUUUGGGAUUGCAGCUCAAAAUGGGUGGUAAAUUUCAUCUAAAGCUAAAUACCGGCCAGAGACCGAUAGCGCACAAGUAGAGUGAUCGAAAGAUGAAAAGCACUUUGGAAAGAGAGUUAAAAGUACGUGAAAUUGUUGAAAGGGAAGCGCUUGCGACCAGACUUGGGCGCGGCCGAUCACCCGGUGCACUCGGCCGCGCAGGCCAGCAUCGGUUGGCGGCCAGACAAAGGAACGUGGCUCCCUCGCCCGGCGCCAUGUGGCCGCUGGGACCGAGGACCGCGCCUCGGUCGCAAGCGACCCGUCUUGAAACACGGACCAAGGAGUGGAAUAAUCAUGCGAGUGUUUGGGCGUAAACCCAUGCGCGGAAUGAAAGUGAACGGAGGUGAGGCGCAUCAUCGACCGAUCCUGAUGUCUUCGGAUGGAUUUGAGUAAGAGCAUGGCUGUUCCGACCCGAAAGAUGGUGAACUAUGCGUGGAUAGGGUGAAGCCAGAGGAAACUCUGGUGGAGGCUCGGUUCUGACGUGCAAAUCGAUCGUCAAAUCUGGGGCGAAAGACUAAUCG
rnacentral:rRNA from 1 species